GCCGGCGGGGAAACCGUUACCAUUACUGAGUUUAGUAAUGGUAACGGUUCUGCCGACGGCCGGCAAGGCGGCA
ensembl:miRNA tgu-mir-451 tgu-mir-451